AUUCUUUUCGCAAAAAGUGAAAAGGCAUAAUGAAAAAUAUUUGUCGAGAAGGAGGCUAACUUUCGGCAGGUGCGUGAGAAGUUCGCUCUCAGAAUCCAACGGCUCCUGAUUCGCGAAUGAACAGCACAUUGUUCGCUAAAAGGUUCUAAACAUUGCUUAAUUUUUAGUUACUUCUUCUGGGGAAAAUGAAUAAACUUUAGAUUUGUACUAGUCUAACGACAUUUUAUAGAGGAAAUGAACACCUUGAACUCGGCAGUGUGAUACGAUGGCGAUUCACAAAGUAUAGACGCGUGCAAGAAUUAAUGGAAUCUAAUUAGUUUUCGUUGCAUGUUUUUAUCUUACGUGCUGGUAAAAGAGAAAAGACAGUUAUAGCGGGCUGUGAAGAAUCAAUCUGAUGAUGUGUAUUACAUUCAUUGAUAGAAAUACAUAUAAUUUGUGGAUCUUUAUCUAAUGAUGGGACAAGGAGCUGCUAAGAGGAAGGUUGAUAAAGGAACGCGAUUAUAUGCAGAUCAAAAAUUUGACGCUGCUACCACUGAAUGGAAAAGUGCGUUAAGAAGAAUGACGAAGAAAGAGAAACUUCCUGAGAAAUUCAACACUUUAAAUCUUCUAUGCAUGGUUUACUUUGAUAUGGGGAAGUAUCGUGAAGUUGUCGUGUGUGCUAACCAACAACUUGAAAUGCUGAAUUCUAAAACCAUGUGUAACAAUAUUGAUUUUUUACAGGAGGCGUAUUUUAACCUUGCAAGAGGAUAUGAGAAAUUAUCAGAGUUCAAGAAAAGUAUUUCAUAUGCCAAAAACUGUGUUGUAAAGGAAGCGAGUAACGAAAAUGCCGGGGAAAUUAAAUCGUUUGCAACCAUUUGUCUGGCAAAGGCGUAUCAUGGUCUCAGUGAUUUUUAUAAUGCCAUCAAUAACUUCGACACCGUUUUAAGUAGAUCUGAAAAAGCCCCUUCCUUGCACAUGAAAUUUUUAGUGUUUGAAAGCCUUGGACAGCUUUUCUCCAAGAUUAAGGAUUAUGAGACAGCACAUCUGUACUAUGAUAGAUGUUUAGACAUCAUACAGCAGGAUGCGACCACGCUAUCCAAGUAUAGAAGACGGAUUCAGAGUCAAAUUGCUUUACCCCUGCUCCACAUGGGACACUUCAAUGACGCCAUGGAACAAUGUGAGCUGUCUAUGAAGGAUGCCAUGCUACGGACCGACCGCCCCGUUCAAGCUCGAUGCCUGUUUACGUUUGCGGAGAUUCACAGAAAAAGAAAAGAUUUUGAGAGAUCGUUCCCGCGGUACGAGUCAUCCUACGCCCUCUUUGUAGAAAUGGGAGAUCGCCUGAACCAAGUAGAAGUAUUGGGAGGAAUGGCGAAGUGCAUGACUGCUCUCAAAGAUUUUGAACAGGCCAUAGAAAUAAACCACAAAGCACGGCAGCUAGCAGAAGAUAUAGGAAACAGGAUGGGAAUAUUGGAUUGUAACACAAGGCUAGCCGAACUUUAUAUCAUGACUGGUAACUCAUUUGCCGCUCAGCAAUGCGAGGAAAACAUCGCGCAUUUAACGGCGGAAUUGGAACUCUUUUGUGGAGUGUGUGGGGAAAGUAUGGGCCAAAUCCCGGAAAACCUGGAUAAACUACCAUGUGGUCAUCUUAUACAUUCAAAAAACAUUUGGCCAAUUUCAAACAAACUUAGCAAAACGAAUCUCUGGGUGAGGGGCUUACAAGUUUGUUCAACGAAAGGGCCAUGUCCAGUUGAAAGGGGAGACAAUUACAAAAAUAGGAUGGAGUCAUUUAACAGUCUUCUUCACAAGAUCCACUUUGCCAGGAAAGUAGAAAUUUAAAUGAAAGCUUUUUAACAUAGUGAGGAUUCAGGUUUGUUAAAAUCAUAACCCCAGAGGUAGGAUGGGGCCGCAAUAGGGUAUCGAAAUUUUACAAACAAAUAUGUAGGGAAAAUCUUUAAAGAGCUUCUUCUCAAGAUCCACUAGGCUUGGAAAGUAGAAAUUUACAUGAAAGAUUCCUGCCAUAGUGCAGAUUCACGUUUGUAAAAAUUAUAACCUCCGGAAGUAGGAUGGGGCCACAAUAGGGGAUCGAAGUUUUACAUACAUAUGUAUAGAAAUUAUCUUUAAAAAUCUUCUGAUCAAAAAACCUUGGGCCAAAAACGUUUACAUGAAAGCUUCCUGACAUAGUGCAAAUUCAAGUUUGUAAAAGUCAUGGCCCACCAGGAUAGGUUGGGGCCACUGAAGGAAUAAAAAGUUUACAUGCGUCUAUAGAGAGAAAAAUCUUUAAAUAUGGGCCAGAGUAACUCAGGUGAGCGAUGUGGCUCAUGUGCCUCCUUUUCCUAGAGACGGCGAACUUUGUUAAAAAACCCAAACUAUACUUGAAAAUUGUAUGACAAGAUGAUUUAGAACAUCGAAAUCAGCUACUAGAACCUGCCAAACGACAUCUAACUGGUCCCUUCAGAUCGGGAUAGAUGUCACUAAAAGAUAAUAAUUGUUACUCCAUUACAGCUACUUGUGCAAAACUUAGUCGAAAAUGCACACCACACUUGGCCCGAUACACAUGGGGAAGAAAGGGACGGAAAAGGCCGUGUCCGUCCUGUAGAAAUCGAUCAUCUGGAAACCCAGUACUCUCACACUAAUCUAUUUAUAUUUUUCUAUUGUAUCAAUUUACACAGUACAUCGAAGAGAAGUGCAAUAUUGAUAUUAAGAGCAUAUAACAUC